GGGGAAUAUUGCACAAUGGGGGAAACCCUGAUGCAGCAACGCCGCGUGAGUGAAGAAGGUUUUCGGAUCGUAAAACUCUGUUGGUAGAGAAGAACGUUGGUGAGAGUGGAAAGCUCAUCAAGUGACGGUAACUACCCAGAAAGGGACGGCUAACUACGUGCCAGCAGCCGCGGUAAUACGUAGGUCCCGAGCGUUGUCCGGAUUUAUUGGGCGUAAAGCGAGCGCAGGUGGUUUAUUAAGUCUGGUGUAAAAGGCAGUGGCUCAACCAUUGUAUGCAUUGGAAACUGGUAGACUUGAGUGCAGGAGAGGAGAGUGGAAUUCCAUGUGUAGCGGUGAAAUGCGUAGAUAUAUGGGGGAACACCGGUGGCGAAAGCGGCUCUCUGGCCUGUAACUGACACUGAGGCUCGAAAGCGUGGGGAGCAAAC
rnacentral:rRNA from 1 species